UUUUCCUGCCUUCCAAUAGCCACUCACACAUUCUUUGUAGAUGUAAAUACAGCUUUACAUAGCCCACUACCAUAUUGCUUCUGUGUAAUAAUCCGAUGACCAAAGAGCCGAAACUGGAAGCAGCUGUGCGGAUUGUCCCGGAGUGGCAGGACUACGACCAAGAGAUCAAACAGCUACAGAUCCGCUUUCAGAAGGAGAAAGAAACGGGAGCACUGUACAAAGAGAAGACAAAAGAACCAAGCCGAGAAGGUCCUCAGAAACGUGAAGAAUUAUGAUCUCUGGAGAAGGACAGGAAAUCACCCCAUUUGAAAAACAGUUUUUAUAAUAAAUGCUAGUUUUUUCUGAUCUGUCUAUACAACUGCUGAUAAACCGGCUGGGCAGGAGUGCCACACCUUUUGAUUCUGAGCAUUUGAUUCUGACUUCUGUACUCUGGUGGCCACUGGAUCUUUGGGAUUAAAGCUCUAUUGGAUUUGUACCUCAGAGGAAGACCAAGUGGCUGAUCCUUUGGACUCUGUAA
rnacentral:sRNA from 1 species